rnacentral:rRNA from 1 species
UACGGGGGGGGCAAGCGUUGUUCGGAAUUACUGGGCGUAAAGCGCGCGUAGGCGGCUUUGCAAGCCGGAUGUGAAAUCCCCGGGCUUAACCUGGGAACUGCAUUCGGGACUGCAUUGCUAGAGUAUGGGAGAGGGAAGUGGAAUUUCAGGUGUAGCGGUGAAAUGCGUAGAUAUCUGAAGGAACAUCAGUGGCGAAAGCGACUUCCUGGACCAAUACUGACGCUCAUGUGCGAAAGCGUGGGGAGCAAACAGG